UACGUAGGGGGCAAGCGUUGUCCGGAUUUAUUGGGCGUAAAGAGCGUGUAGGCGGCUUGGUAGGUCUCGCGUCAAAACCUGAGGCUCAACCUCAGUUCGCGUGGGAAACCACCUAGCUAGAGUCCGGAAGAGGAGAACGGAAUUCCCAGUGUAGCGGUGAAAUGCGCAGAUAUCAGGAAGAACACCCGUGGCGAAGGCGGCUCUCUGGAACGCAACUGACGCUGAGACGCGAAAGCGUGGGGAGCAAACAGG
rnacentral:rRNA from 1 species